GGGCGCGUCCCGGGGGUCACGUGGUGCGCAGCACGCAGAGCCCUUCUGUCGGUUGGUCCUGGAGCGGCGCAGCCGGAGCGGGGCUGUGAGGAGAAUAAAGGCAGCCCCGUUGAUGACUGAAAAUGACAAAGCAUCCACCUAACAGACGAGGAAUCAGCUUUGAAGUGGGAGCCCAGUUGGAAGCCCGGGACCGAUUAAAAAACUGGUAUCCAGCUCACAUAGAAGAUAUUGACUACGAAGAAGGAAAAGUACUCAUUCAUUUCAAGCGUUGGAACCAUCGUUAUGAUGAGUGGUUCUGCUGGGACAGUCCUUAUUUACGUCCUUUAGAGAAAAUACAGCUGAGGAAAGAGGGCUUACAUGCAGAGGAAGGAUCUUCUGAAUUUCAAAUAAACGAGCAGGUUCUCGCCUGUUGGUCUGAUUGUCGUUUUUACCCAGCCAAAGUCACUGCUGUUAACAAGGAUGGUACUUACACUGUGAAAUUUUAUGAUGGAGUAGUUCAAACUGUCAAACAUAUUCAUGUCAAAGCUUUUUCCAAAGAUCAGAAUAUUGUGGGUAAUGCUAGGCCUAAAGAAACAGAACACAAAAGUCUUUCAUCAUCUCCUGAUAAACGAGAGAAGUUUAAAGAGCAGAGAAAAGCGACAGCUAAUGUGAAGAAAGACAAAGAGGACAAAGCCUUGAAGACAGAAAAGCAACCUAAGCAGCCUGAUAAAGAAGGAAAGUUAAUCUGUUCUGAAAAGGGGAAGGUGUCAGAGAAGAACCUUCCUAAGAACGAGAAGGAAGAUAAGGAGAACAUUUCAGAAAAUGACAGAGAGUAUUCUGGAGAUGCUCAAGUGGAUAAGAAACCUGAAAAUGACAUUGUGAAGAGUCCACAAGAAAACUUGAGGGAGCCAAAAAGAAAACGAGGCAGACCCCCUUCCAUAGCUCCUACUGCUGUGGAUUCAAACAGUCAAACUUUGCAACCAAUAACGUUGGAACUGAGAAGACGGAAAAUAUCAAAAGGAAGUGAAGUCCCCAUAAAACGUCCUCGGCUUGACAAAAAUUCAUCCCAGGAAAAGUCAAAAAACUACUCGGAAAACACUGACAAAGACUUAUCAAGGAGACGGUCCUCCAGGCUGUCCACUAAUGGGACCCAUGAGAUCCUAGACCCUGACUUGGUUGUAUCAGAUUUGGUUGAUACGAUUAAUACCGAUACUUUGCAAAACACAUCAACCGGUACCAAGGAAUCUGAAAAAGGUCAGUUGAAAUCUCCUUUGGAAGCUGGCCAGGUUUCAUCUGCACUAACUUGCCACUCCAUUGGGGAUGGACUGGGGCCUGCAGGCUUGGAGUUGAACUGCAAGUCAAUGGGAGAAAACGCUAUGAAAACAGAACCGGCUUCUCCCCUCACUGAGUUACAAGAGAUUUCUACUGUGGCAGUAACAAAUACUUUUAAGAAAACAGAUGAUUUUGUGACAUCUAAAGCACCAGCUGUCGACCUAGAUCACAAGUUUAGGUGCAAGGUUGCAGAUUGUUUAAAAUUUUUCCGCAAAGCCAAGCUCUUGCACUAUCACAUGAAGUAUUUCCACGGAAUGGAGAAGUCACCAGAGCCGGAGGAGAACCCAGGAAAGAGGCAUGUCCAGACAAGGGGCUCUUCAGCUUCAGACAAGACCAGCCAGGAGAGCCUGACCAGGAAGCGGGUCUCUGCCAGUUCCCCAACUGCAAAAGACAAGGAAAAGAAUAAAGAGAAGAAAUUCAAAGAGUUUGUGAGGGUGAAGCCAAAGAAGAAAAAGAAAAAGAAAAAGAAAACUAAGCCUGAAUGCCCCUGCAGUGAGGAGAUCAGUGACACCUCCCAGGAACCUUCUCCACCCAAGGCAUUUGCUGUCACCAGGUGUGGGUCCUCCCAUAAGCCUGGGGUCCACAUGAGCCCGCAGCUCCAUGGCUCAGAAUCUGGAAACCACAAAGGGAAAGUGAAAGUGUCUGAAGAGGAUAAUCUGAGCGAGUCCUCUUCUGAGAGCUUUCUUUGGAGCGAUGAGGAGUAUGGCCAGGACAUUGACGUGACCACCAACCCAGACGAGGAACUCGAUGGGGAUGACCGUUACGAUUUUGAAGUGGUCCGCUGCGUCUGUGAGGUUCAGGAGGAAAAUGACUUCAUGAUUCAGUGUGAAGAGUGCCAGUGCUGGCAGCAUGGGGUCUGCAUGGGAUUACUGGAAGAAAAUGUGCCUGAGAAAUACACCUGUUAUGUUUGCCAAGACCCUCCAGGUCAGAGGCCUGGUUUCAAGUACUGGUACGACAAGGAAUGGUUGAGCAGGGGACACAUGCAUGGCCUGGCAUUUUUAGAAGAGAACUACUCCCAUCAGAAUGCCAAGAAGAUUGUGGCCACUCACCAGCUUCUUGGUGAUGUGCAGAGAGUGAUCGAGGUUCUGCAUGGCCUUCAGCUCAAGAUGAGCAUCUUACAAAGCCGGGAGCAUCCUGAUCUGCAGCUGUGGUGUCAGCCUUGGAAACAGCAUCUGUUAGAGGGGAGAUUGCAUUCCAGACACAUCCAUGUCACUGAAGCCAAGAGCAGGGAGGAAGCCCCAAGCUAUAGAACUUUGAAUGGGGCAGUGGAGAAGCCUCUGCCCCUGCCCUUGCCCCGGUCAGUGGAGGAGUCGUAUAUCACCAGCGAGCACUGCUACCAGAAGCCCCGCACCUAUUACCCGGCUGUGGAACAGAAGCUGGUGGUGGAGACCCGGCGCUCCGCCCUCGAUGAUGCUGUCAGCCCGCUCCACGAGAACGGUGACGAUGCCCUCCCUCCGCGCCUGGGCUGGCCUCUAGACCAAGACAGGAGCAGAGGGGACAGUGACCCCAAAUCUGGCUCCCCAAAGGUGAGGGAAUAUGUCUCCAAAAAGGUCCUCACGGAGGAAGCCCCCACUCGGAAGCUGCUGGACAGAGGUGGAGAGGGGCUGCUGAGCUCCCAGCACCAGUGGCAGUUUAACCUGCUGACCCAUGUGGAAUCUCUUCAGGAUGAAGUCACACAUAGGAUGGACUCCAUUGAGAAGGAGCUGGAUGUGUUGGAGAGCUGGCUGGACUACACCGGGGAACUGGAGCCCCCGGAGCCUCUGGCCAGGCUUCCGCAGCUCAAGCAUUGCAUCAAGCAGCUGCUGACGGACCUGGGCAAGGUGCAGCAGAUCGCGCUCUGCUGCUCAACAUGAAACUAAGAACUAAUGGGGGGCACAAUCCUGGGGCACCUGCAGGAGGAGCUUCUCAUAUUUAAAUAAAUAAACCUAGCAUGCCGAAUGCACGUGACACCGACUGACUUCAGGGAUCCGGGCAGGGGGUGUGAUGGACAUUGGACAAAGAGGCCAUUUUGGCUACUGGAAGGGAGGGCACUCUGAUGGCAAAGCCUACCAAGAAGGUAGCAGAUAGACUCUUGGAAUUCCCUUCUUCUGUGCACAUUGUUGAAUGGAGAGUGAGUCUUUUUGCACAAUCUUCACUUGAAAUCGUGCCACUGAUGAUAAAUGGAAUGAGAGCCAAAAAAGUUUAGUCGGAAACAGUUGUAAAUUCAACUUGCAGCUUAUUUAAUUGACUUUUCUGUCAGGUUGGGGCACAUGCCAAGCCUUCUGGUUUUCUGCCUGGCAUGGAUUUAGGCAGCAGACAUCAUUUUCAUUUUUCCAGCUUCAUGGGAGUGUUGUGACGUCACCAUUCUGUGGAGGUUGGGAAGGACCAGAGGCCUUGGCUGCCCUGCCUUCUCCUUAGGACUCUUCACUUUUCUCACCACAUCUCUUUCAUGACUUCCUGGUACUGAGGACAAAUUUUGUAUGCUUUCACCCCCGAAUCAGCUGGGUCGUGUGUCUUUUGUAGCAGAGCCCGUACAGCCUGUGGAAGAACUAGAAUCUCACUGUAAGAAGAAUCUAGGAGGAAUUCCAAACUGAAGCAGGCAGGGUCUGGAACCCAAAGGGACAGCGUUUUCUACCCACUUCUUCAUAUUGACAGCUUACCAGUUCUAUUUAACGUCCAAAAAGUGGUUCCCAAAAUUUUGAACUCUUUCACUGUAAAGAUUUGAUACAGAGAAUGUGGUUUGGGGAAUUACCUUAUUUUAUAUUGUUGUAAACACACCAGAUCCUAAAUGUGCCGCUUUUCUCCUUCCCUGAGGGUAUGUGUUCAGUACCUGGCAUUUUCGGAAUUGUUUUAAUAUACUUUAACACUUUAAAUUUCCUGUUUGUAUUAUUUUGUGAGAUCAAGUUGAUUAUGCUGCUUAAGGUCCAGGUACAAUUUGUACCUUUUGAGACAAUAUUUGUUACUCUCACAGGUUACGGUUCCACAUGUAAUUGUUUUUGUUUUGUAAUUGUUUUUCCUUACCAGGCAAAGUUUAAGAAAAUGCUCAGUGCUUUGAGGAGUGACCCAUUUCACCAUUUAGUUUUCUUAUCACUGAAGGCAAAAAUCAAAGCACAGUUGUCCAUUAACACUCACGAGUUAAUUAUGGGUUUAUGAAUCUGUAAUGUUAUAUGCUGCAAAUAUUUACUAUGUAAACGAAAAGUAGCCAAUAUCUCAAUAGCAAUGACAGUAUUUCCAGCAACCUUUGGAAUGGUUAGGCUUUAAGGCACAGGUCGUUGUGGUCAUGAAGGCCUCUGUACCAAGAUUUUGUUUCAGGGAAUGCUCUGUCUAGUGAUUUAAUUCAUCAUUUGAUAUAAAAUGAAUUUAGGACAAGUUGACCUGCUGUAGCUUAUCCAUCAGAGGGAAUACAUGUGGCUAUGACGUCUAUAAUAAAGGUGACACAAUUCCUCUUCAAGGGUUGUUUCCCAUUGCUAACGUUGGUAUUUCUGGUGUGGGAGGAAAUGUUCAAGGAGUGUGCAUGACAUCUAUGUUUUGCUUAAUUUAUCAGACAGCCACAUUGUAAUAACUGUGUGAUGCUCGUCUGAAAAGGGAAGAAACAGGAUGAUUUUCGGUAGCUACAACUGUGAGGUAUGGUGACUUAAAUUAUUUGGAUUACCAUUUUUUCUUUUCUGAAAGCACAUCUGGGCAUCACCUCUGGGGAAGCUGUAACUUUAAGGUAGUCAAUCUCAUGUUUUUAUUAAAGAUGGAAGCAGAAACUGAAUUACCCUAAUUUUGCCAAGUGGCCAUUGUUGGGUUUAUUGUAUGCUUUUUGUAAAGGAAAUAAUCCCAUUUCACUCAUUGUCACUUUUGUCCUUAGGGAGGCAGAGAUGACUCCAAGUUCUGAUAAAGUGUGCUUCCCUAAUUUAAAGCCAUGUUGCGGGACUCUAUCCCCACUUCCUGGGUCAAGUUGAAUUAACCGCAAGUUGGAGCACUGGAAACUGUUAUUUGCAAAUAUUACUGUUACCAUUUAGAAAUAUGUACACUACCUAAGUUUUCUUUUGAGAAAAACCAUCCACCUAUUUAAAAAAAAAAAAAAAAUUGCCUUGACACAAGCAGUUCUGGUUUGACUAAUCAUUUUGUUUCUUUAAGUAAUGAGUGUAUGCAAGGUGGACCCUUGAUCAGCCAACAUUGCACUGUGGAUACAUAUCUGUUUACGCUAUUAGAACAGAAGGCGCUGUAUAUAGAAAUGUUGCUUUGAAGCAAUAUUUGCAAAACAUGCAAACUUCUGUAUCUGUAUUUGGAAAAAAAUAAAGCAGGUUUUUGUUGCUA
rnacentral:lncRNA from 9 species